UACGAAGGGGGCUAGCGUUGCUCGGAAUCACUGGCGUAAAGCGCACGUAGGCGGAUUGCUAAGUCAGGGUGAAAUCCUGGAGCUCAACUCCAGAACUGCCUUUGAUACUGGCGACCUUGAGUCCGGGAGAGGUGAGUGGAACUGCGAGUGUAGAGGUGAAAUUCGUAGAUAUUCGCAAGAACACCAGUGGCGAAGGCGGCUCACUGGCCCGGUACUGACGCUGAGGCGCGAAAGCGUGGGGAGCGAACG
rnacentral:rRNA from 1 species